AGAGUUUGAUCGUGGCUCAGGACGAACGCUGGCGGCGUGCUUAACACAUGCAAGUCGAACGGAAAGGCCCUUCGGGGUACUCGAGUGGCGAACGGGUGAGUAACACGUGGGUGAUCUGCCCUGCACUUUGGGAUAAGCCUGGGAAACUGGGUCUAAUACCGAAUAUGACCAUGCACUUCCUGGUGUGUGGUGGAAAGCUUUUGCGGUGUGGGAUGGGCCCGCGGCCUAUCAGCUUGUUGGUGGGGUAAUGGCCUACCAAGGCGACGACGGGUAGCCGGCCUGAGAGGGUGACCGGCCACACUGGGACUGAGAUACGGCCCAGACUCCUACGGGAGGCAGCAGUGGGGAAUAUUGCACAAUGGGCGCAAGCCUGAUGCAGCGACGCCGCGUGAGGGAUGACGGCCUUCGGGUUGUAAACCUCUUUCAGCACAGACGAAGCGCAAGUGACGGUAUGUGCAGAAGAAGGACCGGCCAACUACGUGCCAGCAGCCGCGGUAAUACGUAGGGUCCGAGCGUUGUCCGGAAUUACUGGGCGUAAAGAGCUCGUAGGUGGUUUGUCGCGUUGUUCGUGAAAACUCACAGCUUAACUGUGGGCGUGCGGGCGAUACGGGCAGACUUGAGUACUGCAGGGGAGACUGGAAUUCCUGGUGUAGCGGUGGAAUGCGCAGAUAUCAGGAGGAACACCGGUGGCGAAGGCGGGUCUCUGGGCAGUAACUGACGCUGAGGAGCGAAAGCGUGGGGAGCGAACAGGAUUAGAUACCCUGGUAGUCC
rnacentral:rRNA from 1 species